UACGUAGGGGGCAAGCGUUAUCCGGAUUUACUGGGUGUAAAGGGGGCGCAGACGGCGAUGCAAGCCAGGAGUGAAAGCCCGGGGCCCAACCCCGGGACUGCUCUUGGGACUGCGUGGCUGGAGUGCAGGAGGGGCAGGCGGAAUUCCUGGUGUAGCGGUGAAAUGCGUAGAUAUCAGGAGGAACACCGGUGGCGAAGGCGGCCUGCUGGACUGCAACUGACGUUGAGGCCCGAAAGCGUGGGGAGCAAACAGG
rnacentral:rRNA from 1 species